GUGCUGCUGGAAUGUUGCUACUUAGAAAUGGAAAGUUCACAAUUGGAAAGCUUAAAAUAAUCUCUUUUGUGCUAGUUUUGUUUUCAACCGACCCUGAUUGUUAAUUUCUUGAUGUAAGUCAAGAUAUGAGGCUGACUUAACUGUAUUUGUAGUAUUCUUUAUCUCUAGUUCGAUGGGAUAGAGGCAUUCCACAUAGUCACCAAAUUUUGAAUUAUUUAGUGAAAGAACAUCAUCUAUAUAGCGGAAAGUAGAGUUAAAGGAUAUCGCUAACUUCAUAUAAAGUGCACUUAAAUGACUAGUGUAAAACAAUUCAAGUAUAUGACAUGUAUAUAAAAAUCGAGAAAUGAGAAACACUAAUUAACCACACCUUGUAACGACAACCACAAUUAACAGGCUCCUGAUUUAGGACAGGUGCAAACACAUGUAGCGAGUUUAAAUGUUUUACAGGCGCCAACCCUUCAUUCUAACUUUAAACAGUA
rnacentral:lncRNA from 1 species